rnacentral:rRNA from 1 species
UACGUAGGGUGCAAGCGUUGUCCGGAAUUAUUGGGCGUAAAGAGCUCGUAGGCGGUUUGUCGCGUCUGCUGUGAAAACUCGGGGCUUAACCCCGGGCCUGCAGUGGGUACGGGCAGACUAGAGUGCGGUAGGGGAGACUGGAAUUCCCGGUGUAGCGGUGAAAUGCGCAGAUAUCGGGAAGAACACCCGUGGCGAAGGCGGCUCUCUGGGACGGUACUGACGCUGAGACGCGAAAGCGUGGGGAGCGAACAGG